rnacentral:rRNA from 1 species
UACGGAGGGGACUAGCGUUGUUCGGAAUUACUGGGCGUAAAGAGUACGUAGGCGGCUUAUCAAGUUGGGUGUGAAAGCCCGGGGCUCAACCCCGGAACUGCAUUCAAAACUGGUAAGCUAGAGAUCGGAAGAGGUAAGUGGAAUUCCCAGUGUAGAGGUGAAAUUCGUAGAUAUUGGGAAGAACACCAGUGGCGAAGGCGGCUUACUGGUCCGAGACUGACGCUGAGGUACGAAAGCGUGGGGAGCAAAC